AGAGAGAUGUCUACCUGGGAGCAGCUUCUUGGGUUAAAUCACAGAACACAGACACCAGUGAAGACAGUGCUGUGGCUUGGAGGAUUUUGUCUAAUUCACAAAGGAAAGACGAGGUGACUUUGCUGGCCCAAGAACCAGGAGUUUCGUGAACAUUUGCCUUCUUCACCUGUUCUGAGGCAGCAGCCUGAGCAGCGCCCUGCACCGACUGUUGCUUGAGCUCCUGCAUUUUCAGACACAGCUCCUGCUGGUUUUCCCAGAGAUGGUGAUGUCCUCAGGCUGUUGAUAUCCCUUAGGAGGUAGAAGAGUGACUACAGACCCCAGAGGGCUGCAAAGAUGUGGGGGAGGGGCACUGUUUGCCUCCCCGUGGUGAGUUUCAGGAGUUUGCUAAACCUGCGCAUGGUGAAGGUCGUAUCAGAUAAUGGGAACACCUGGAGUUUGAGGUCUUGUUCCUCCUCAAGGAGACAUUUCUCUGAGAAGGCUAUAGGUACCAGGAAGUUAGGGAGUCACCCAAGCCUCCAGGGUCUCACUGUGAAAUGAAGGCCACUAGUGACCUUUCUCCUUUGAGUUU